GUGAAUCAUCGAAUUUUUGAACGCAAAUUGCACUCUCUGGUAUUCUGGCGAGUAUGCAUGUUUGAGGGUCAGUUUAAAUCACAAUCGGUGUGGUUGCUGCCUUUCGUGGUGACGCCCCGGUUGUGGGUUGUAUUGCCUUCGGUUACGUGCCUUAAAAUCUUGCAUGAUUUUUUCGAACGUAUUUAAAUGAUUUUACGUCCGUUCGCGAAAUCGAAUAUUAGGUGCGGUAAUCCUCAUGAU
rnacentral:misc_RNA from 1 species